rnacentral:sRNA from 1 species
AGUAUUGACUGCCGAAGACAGCAGGUGCCGUAAGGCAUAAAGGUUAUUCCACCUGCCGAGGAACGUACAAUUUCUUUAAUUUUGAAUUUGUAGCGCCUCUCUGUCUUUGAGACAGAGAGGCUUUUUCCUU